UCGAUUUGGAGGUUGUGCCCUUGAGGCGUGGCUUCCGGAGCUAACGCGUUAAAUCGACCGCCUGGGGAGUACGGCCGCAAGGUUAAAACUCAAAUGAAUUGACGGGGGCCCGCACAAGCGGUGGAGCAUGUGGUUUAAUUCGAUGCAACGCGAAGAACCUUACCUACUCUUGACAUCCAGAGAACUUUCCAGAGAUGGAUUGGUGCCUUCGGGAACUCUGAGACAGGUGCUGCAUGGCUGUCGUCAGCUCGUGUUGUGAAAUGUUGGGUUAAGUCCCGCAACGAGCGCAACCCUUAUCCUUUGUUGCCAGCGGUUCGGCCGGGAACUCAAAGGAGACUGCCAGUGAUAAACUGGAGGAAGGUGGGGAUGACGUCAAGUCAUCAUGGCCCUUACGAGUAGGGCUACACACGUGCUACAAUGGCAUAUACAAAGAGAAGCGACCUCGCGAGAGCAAGCGGACCUCAUAAAGUAUGUCGUAGUCCGGAUUGGAGUCUGCAACUCGACUCCAUGAAGUCGGAAUCGCUAGUAAUCGUAGAUCAGAAUGCUACGGUGAAUACGUUCCCGGGCCUUGUACACACCGCCCGUCACACCAUGGGAGUGGGUUGCAAAAGAAGUAGGUAGCUUAACCUUCGGGAGGGCGCUUACCACU
rnacentral:rRNA from 1 species